UAGGGAAUAUUGCAAAAUGGGCGAAAGCCCGAUGCAGCAACGCCGCGUGGGCGAUGAAGGCCUUCGGGUCGUAAAGCCCUUUUUGAGGGGAUGAGGAAGGACAGUACCCUCAGAAUAAGCCUCGGCUAACUACGUGCCAGCAGCCGCGGUAAAACGUAGGAGGCGAGCGUUAUCCGGAUUUACUGGGCGUAAAGCGCGUGCAGGCGGAUUGGAGAGUUGGAUGUGAAAGCUCCCGGCUUAACUGGGAGAGGUUGUUCAAUACUUCCAGUCUUGAGUGCAGUAGAGCGAAGUGGAAUUCCGGGUGUAGUGGUGAAAUGCGUAGAUAUCCGGAGGAACACCAGUGGCGAAAGCGGCUUCCUGGACUGUAACUGACGCUCAGACGCGAAAGCUAGGGUAGCAAACG
rnacentral:rRNA from 1 species